rnacentral:rRNA from 1 species
AUAUAACUAAGCGGAGGAAAAGAAACUAACAAGGAUUCUCCUAGUAACGGCGAGUGAAGCGAGAAAAGCUCAAGCUUUAAAUCUGUUUGCUUUGACAGUGAAUAGAAUUGUAGUCUAUGGAUGCGUUUGUCAAUCGAGACUGGAGACUAAAGUCCCUUGGAAAAGGGCAGCAUGGAGGGUGAGACUCCCGUUCAUAGUUUUCAGCUUCUUGAUGUACGACACGUAUUCCUCGAGUCGAGUUGCUUGGGAAUGCAGCUCAAAGUAGGUGGUAAAUUCCAUCUAAAGCUAAAUAUGGGUGCGAGACCGAUAGCGAACAAGUACCGUGAGG